rnacentral:sRNA from 1 species
CCUCCUCCACCUGCUGGGGGCAGAUGAAGUGGAUAUGCGCAUCGAUGCCUCCCGCGGUGAGAAUCUUGCCCUCCCCGGCAAUGAUUUCGGUGCCGGGUCCGAUCACGAUCUCCACAUCGGGCUGGGUAUCGGGGUUGCCGGCCUUGCCGAUGGCGGCGAUGCGGCCCCCCUUGAGCCCUACGUCGGCCUUGACGAUUCCCCACCAGUCGAGGAUCAGGGCAUUGGUGAUCACGGUAUCCAUGACCGCCGCGUCGUGGCGCUGGCUCUGUCCCAUGCCAUCGCGAAU